CAAUAGCGUAUAUUAAAGUUGUUGCAGUUAAAAAGCUCGUAGUUGGAUUUGUGGCGUACGGUGUGUUCCGGGCACUUGUUGUCUGAGUAACCUGCUGUUGCCAUCCUUGGGUGGAACCUGUGUGGCAUUAGGUUGUCGUGCAGGGGAUGCCCAUCAUUUACUGUGAAAAAAUUAGAGUGUUCAAAGCAGGCUUAUGCCGUUGAAUAUAUUAGCAUGGAAUAAUGAGAUAGGACUUUUUUGCUAUUUUGUUGGUUUGCGCAAGAAGGUAAUGAUUAAUAGGGACAGUUGGGGGUAUUCGUAUUCCAUUGUCAGAGGUGGAAUUCUUGGAUUUUUGGAAGACGAACUACUGCGAAAGCAUUUACCAAGGAUGUUUUCAUUAA
rnacentral:rRNA from 1 species